rnacentral:rRNA from 1 species
UACGAAGGGGGCUAGCGUUGCUCGGAAUCACUGGGCGUAAAGGGCGCGUAGGCGGUCUUUUAAGUCGGGGGUGAAAGCCUGUGGCUCAACCACAGAAUUGCCUUCGAUACUGGGAGACUUGAGUUCGGAAGAGGUUGGUGGAACUGCGAGUGUAGAGGUGAAAUUCGUAGAUAUUCGCAAGAACACCAGUGGCGGAGGCGGCUCACUGGCCCGGUACUGACGCUGAGGCACGAAAGCGUGGGGAGCAAACAGG